CUGCGUCGGAGAAGCUGGAGUUGAGGGAGCCGCGGUCGCUGUCGGGACCUGCAAAAGAAGUCUAAAUCGGAGUUGGGGUUGCUCCGACAAGAUCCUCCGAUGCUCAAGUCAGUUCUCUGCCUCAACAAGAAUGGAGUGCUCGAACGAAAAUUUUAGCAGAGCUUUUGGGAUGGAAAUUAGAGCUUAGAGAAUAACGUAUCUGGGAUCUCCCCUUUUUAUAGGCGGAGGGGGCAAC
rnacentral:lncRNA from 1 species